AUCUUGGAUAGGGAGCGGGCACGCACCAUCCCAUACUGCCCAUCGUCUGAGGACCAUCGCUUUAGCUCAGGUUAUAUUACAAAAUGUCGGUUUGGCGUGAGAUUACUGUUGUUUUAGUAUUGUAAUGCCAUUACAUCGCAAACUAACCAGCUCUGAUUUAAUGUCUGUGUUUGUGUGGGAGUGUGUGUGUGCUUGUUGCUUACCAGGGCGCAUGUUGUACCUAUCCAGGCUCUUCCUACGGUUCAUGCGGUGUUGUUGUUGCUGCAUGGAAUCCAUGAACUCCAUGUCACCCCGGUGACCACCACCUCGCUCCUCCUGGAUCUGCUGAUUGUCGACGAGAGUGAGUGCGAGAGUGGGGUGGAAAAUACUCUUCUAUAUCCACAUCCAAGUCCAUGGGAUGAACAGAGAGCAGGCGCUUGUUCUUUCGCAUCUGACAGAACAACAGGAUGGAGACAUAAAGAGAAGUGGGGAGAGAGGGAGAAGAAGGGGUGACUUCUUUUCUUCUCAAAUUGUGUAACCCCUUGUUACGUUUGCAUAUCAUAGUGCUUAUGCUGGUGUUGUCAACUCCACUAUGAUAUGCAAAAGUACCACAGGGUUAAGCAGUUUUCAGAUACAUAUCAGCUGUCCCAUCGCCGUGUCAGAGCCCUGACAAAAUGAAUGAUCCAUUGUGCUGUUGUGUGUGGAAACACAAUGAUGGGGACUGACGUGGGGAGGAUAAGUGGCUG